UGGGGUGUGACACAUUGUCGACAUUUUGAAACGUGAUUUAAAUUAAUAAAUUCACUAGAAAUUGUUUCAAUUGCUUUGUUUUGUGUGUUUAGAUUAAAACUGUGUUUAUUUUGGAGGCAUUUCCUAGAGAAAAGUGUUUUUGCUUGGUAAGCUUGACGAAGAACUCACGAAACGACGACUCACGAAAGUACGAAGUAAGCAACGCGAUUAAACCGAGUAAAAAUCAGAAAAUAUUAUAUUAAAAUAAAUUAAUAUAAAGUACGCUUGCGCAAUGGCGGUCGGUGUUAACCAAAAAGGAGUGGCACCAGCGUCCGGCGUGAUGAAGUAUACUAUACACGUGAACGAACAUUCGAAAAAGGAACCGAAGGAGCUGGUGAUGACGAUCGGUCAAACGAAGAAAAUUAUAAAAAUUCUAUCUGUACAAAAAAUUUUUCACGGAUUUAAAGCUAAACCAAAUUCCAUGUAACUUGUUAAGAGGACCCUGGAUGUAGGAUAAGUCUCUAUUUCUGUUAACUGUAAAGUCACAACACUUUUGAAUUGAAACACCUCAGUCACUGGAAUUAUGUAACCUUUACGACUGAAAUUUCCUUUGUUAAAUUUUUCGAUGGUUUCCGCUUUAAUUGGGACUUUGUCAUUGAAGAGACUCUCGACUAAAUGAGACAACUAUUAUUAUUUUAUCAUUUUGAAUAUUGUUCAGAACACGUCUAAACAUAUUAAUAGUUCACAAACACUCGGCUUUUGCAAGCUGGAGUGGACUUAAUGGCAAUGGAAUUAAGCUCUACACACACGAGGACACGUCUGUCUGCGCAAAAACGAAACAUCCGAACACAAAUUUCUAGAAAUCUUAACAGUUUAUAUAAGUUAUGCCAAAACUAUUUUUACACUUGUAUUUAUUUACGAAUUGUUUAAUCAUUGUAUGUUUUAUAUUGUGUACAAACUAUUCUUAUGUUAGUGUCAAAAUAUUAGAGGAUUAAUAUCAAAGAACGAAUAUUUUGAACUGACACGUGUCGAAAUACUUUUUAUUAAAUCAGACGACGGACAGUAACAGCUCGAAAUCCCAUCUCCCACUGCUGGGCAAACAACGGCUUAGGAGAAAAUGCUGCGUUUAUUCUACCACGUUUAUCUUUAUAAUUGUUGUCGAAUUUCAUGGGAAACAUGCGUGUGUCCACAUUAUGGUUUUACCUCAACGCGAAUAGAAAAAGGAUUGUCAGAUCUUCUGGGCCAUCGCGGCUUCCAAACUUUUUUACAGACGUGACCCAAGUUACGGAAUUUAAAGAAAAUUGGACGAGGUUUUCUUGAAGUAGAAAGGUUUUUAUUAGUUAUCGAGUUAAAAAACUAGCAAUGCUUGCCAGAAUUUCGAAACUUCGGUUUAGAUCAAAUCGUUCUAUCGCGGCGGUCGAUCUUUUUUACAUUCGUGAUGGAAAUGUGUCAUCUUUGUUUGAGAGAGAUAAUAAAAAUAAACUGGAGGGGGUUUCCUUGAAAAAGAAAAAUGUUUCAAAACCAAGCUUUCGUGUAUUAAAUUAAAAAAAAUAUGAGUAUGUUAUAUUAUAAUGUCACCGACACCAAAAUAUGCUCUAAAUGACAGCUCGGUCCGUUGAGUGGGAUUGGUUCGAUAUUUUGUUGAAACUUUGAUUGAUUGAUUUUUGUUGUCGAAGAUAAACAAAUCUCCUUAAAACAUCUAUACUAUAUAUUUCUCUGUAUAUGUUCAUAGAGAAUUAUAUUAUAAUGAGUGCCAAUAAACGUCAUAUUAUUAGUGGUGCACACUAAGGCCACACGUGGGUAUGUCUAUACAUUAGACAACUUGCACGAUAGAGUCAGUGUUAUUGAGUUAUCUUAUUGUAAAAUGUAUGUUUUAAUAUGUGUCUGUAUCUGCUCGGAACUAAUCACAAUAAAUGUUGUCUAUGAAUAAUA